GAUGAACGCUGGCGGCGUGCCUAAUACAUGCAAGUCGAGCGAACAGACGAGGAGCUUGCUCCUCUGACGUUAGCGGCGGACGGGUGAGUAACACGUGGAUAACCUACCUAUAAGACUGGGAUAACUUCGGGAAACCGGAGCUAAUACCGGAUAACAUAUUGAACCGCAUGGUUCAAUAGUGAAAGACGGUUUUGCUGUCACUUAUAGAUGGAUCCGCGCCGCAUUAGCUAGUUGGUAAGGUAACGGCUUACCAAGGCAACGAUGCGUAGCCCACCUGAGAGGGUGAUCGGCCACACUGGAACUGAGACACGGUCCAGACUCCUACGGGAGGCAGCAGUAGGGAAUCUUCCGCAAUGGGCGAAAGCCUGACGGAGCAACGCCGCGUGAGUGAUGAAGGUCUUCGGAUCGUAAAACUCUGUUAUUAGGGAAGAACAAAUGUGUAAGUAACUAUGCACGUCUUGACGGUACCUAAUCAGAAAGCCACGGCUAACUACGUG
rnacentral:rRNA from 1 species